AUACCUACCCGACAGAGGAGAGACCAUGAUCAUGAAGGUGGUUUUCUCAGGGAGCGGCUUAUCCAUAGCACUUUGGGUGUGCUGACCACUGCAAUUUCUCCAAAUGAGGGAAACUCUACUGCAUAAUCGGUGGUAGUGGGGGCCUGUGUUUAUGCUCUACCCUA